rnacentral:rRNA from 1 species
ACGAACGCUGGCGGCAUGCCUAACACAUGCAAGUCGAACGAUUGCCUUCGGGUGAUAGUGGCGCCCGGGUGCGUAACGCGUGGGAAUCUGCCCUUAGGUUCGGAAUAACAGCUGGAAACGGCUGCUAAUACCGGAUGAUAUCGCGAGAUCAAAGAUUUAUCGCCUGAGGAUGAGCCCGCGUUGGAUUAGGUAGUUGGUGGGGUAAAGGCCUACCAAGCCGACGAUCCAUAGCUGGUCUGAGAGGAUGAUCAGCCACACUGGGACUGAGACACGGCCCAGACUCCUACGGUAGGCAGCAGUGGGUAAUAUUGGACUAUGGGCGCAAGCCUGAUCCAGCUAUGCCGCGUGAGUGAUGAAGGCCCUAGGGUUGUAAAGCUCUUUUACCCGGGAAGAUAAUGACUGUACCGGGAGAAUAUGCCCCGGCUAACUCCG